UAAUUCUAGGGUGAGUAAUCAAUAAUGUGGGGCCCACCGACAGUGACUGGACAAGCGCGAGUACCAACGACGCACUAGAGAGACGGUGUGGACGCGCGCGUGGCUAAUCGACCACAGAUUUACGGGCUGGGUAAAGUCAGGGACCAUUAAUUAAAUCACGGGCAGUCCAUAACGCCGUCAUUCCAAGCCACUUACGCCGUCUCCUUCAAUUUUUAGGCAAUCGCUCCGAGCCAGCUUGGUUCGGAUACCACCAAUAUUUUGAAAAAGAAACACAGCUGACACCAAAGCCAAAAUACCAAAAACCACACCGAAAUAAUAAAGGAGGAGAAAGAAAGGCCGUAAAACAAAAUAAUUUUAGAAAUAGAGAGUGCCUGAUUGUCUUUUUCUAUAGAGAGAAACAGCUGGAGCUUGAAGGAAUCUCGGAAAAGAUGGGGCAGGUCGUGAAGAAAAAGAAGAAAGGGAGACCGGCGAAGGCAGAUCCCAAGCAGACGGAACGCGACCUGCGGCGGAGCCACCGCCGCCGCAGUGUGAAGUACGUCUUCGACCUAGACGACUACUUCGACGAGGACGAAGAGGACCAGCGGCGGAGGGAGAAGAACCUGAAGCACCUGCUCAAGCUCCAGAGUGGCGGCGAGCCGGAGCAGACUAAUCGCCGCACGCAGCAGCCGUCGUGCUCCUCCGACGUGAAGCCGUCGAAGAAGCGGAAAAUCGGCGAACAAAUGGAUGAGGAUGUGGAUGACAGAAAUGAAUAUAAUGAUGAGGACGAAGAAGAGGUUAGAGACUCAAGGCCACAACUCAAAGAAGAAGACUCACAACCAGGCUCGCCUUGUGAGCUGCCGCUGCCUGAUGAGAAGACAUUGGAGUUGAUUUUGGACAAGUUGCAGAGGAAAGAUAUUUAUGGUGUUUAUGCAGAACCGGUUGAUCCGGAAGAGCUUCCAGAUUACUUUGACAUGAUAGAUCAUCCAAUGGAUUUCGCUACUGUGAGGAACAAUCUACGAAACGGAUUAUAUGCAACUUUCAAGCAAUUUGAGAGUGAUGUUUUCCUCAUUUGUUCAAAUGCAAUGCAGUAUAAUGCACCGGAUACCAUAUAUCACAAACAGGCACGCACCAUCCAAGAGUUGGCAAAAAGGAAAUUUGACAAGAUAAGGCUUACUUUUGAACACAAUGACAAACCUGAGCAGAAAUCAAAAUCUGGCUCUCUUUCAAAAAAGCAAAUCAAAAGGCCUUUGAUCCGGACAGGGAAAGAACCUGUUGGCUCUGAUUUUUCAUCAGGAGCUACUCUUGCAACAGCUGGUGAUAUUCAGAAUGUUACCAGUGUUGUGUCUGAGAAAGCUGGUUGUAUAGAUCGGCUUGUUGAAGGAAGUUCUUUCUUUAAUGACAACAAUUUGGACAAACAGGAAGACUUGCUGUCGGGAAGGGCCCUCCCAUCUCGAUUUGGUAGGAGAUCAACAUUUGUACUAGAGGAAAAUUGCCAUGUGACAUAUAACAUAUCACAAGAUGAAUAUCGCCGUGCGACAUAUAACAUAUCAUUGUCUCAGCCCAUGAACUGCUCAGGAUCUAUAUUCUCAACGUUUGAUGGUGAAACCAAGCAUCUCAUGCCUGUAGGGCUUUAUUCUGAUCAUUCAUAUGCUAGAAGCCUGUCUCGAUUUGCUGCAACUCUUGGAUCUGUUGCCUGGAAAGUUGCUUCUAAAAGAAUUGAACAAGCACUACCUCAGGGAUUCAAAUUUGGUCAGGGUUGGGUCGGGGAGUAUGAAUCACUUCCAACUCCAGUAUUGAUGCUGGAAAACUGCAGUGUGAAGGAACCACCAUUUUUCAUGAAAGUACAGCCAGCUGUCGAACCUAGGAACUUUAACAAGGUGCCUUUAAUCUCGAAUGCUUCCAAGGAAAUCCCAGGUAAUAUUCCUUUCUUCGAACAAAAGCUGUCAUUUCUUGGUCCCGCUGGAAUCAGAUCACCGGCUCCUAUCAUCAUGGCUCAACCAAUCAGAGGGAGUAUAUCAGAGACAAAGCAGUCAUUCUUUCUGUCUCCUGGGAUUAGACCUAGUGGUUCUCAUAAUCUCAGCUACGUUAAUCAAAAUUCACAAUCCAGAAAUCUGCUUGAAUCUGACAAGAAGGCUCAGAAGCAGGUUCAGUCAAACAGUCCACGUGCACUAAGUAGAGCUGCCACCGGUUCUGUUGGCAGCAGGCAGUUGCCUAGGAGGUCGGAAGUGGAAGCUUCUAGGUUCGUUGAUUCCUCUCCAAAGAACAUGCAUUUUUUGCAAUCCGGAUCUUCUAAACAGCCUGAUCAUAAUAAUGGUGUUGCUUUUGGAGGAUUGCCUAAUGGAAGAGUCAACAGUAAUAAGGCUGAUGGUAAUACAGUGAUUAGUUCGUCCGGUGAGUCGACAAAACCACCUAGCUAUUAUCCCCACGAACAGGGUCAGGGUCUCAGCGACCCAGUUCAGUUGAUGAGAAUGUUGGCCAAUCACAAUCAACAAAAAUCCUGUAAUCAGUCAUCAGGCAAUGCUCCUCAAGUUUUAACAUCACAACCAUCCUUGGGUAGCAGCGGGUGGAACGGCAAUGAUCCAAAUAAUGCAGCUAUGGCUGCUGCACGUGUGUGGAUGUCUGUAGGGGCAGCAGGGCUAAGGCCAGUUACUGAAAAUGCUAACCCGAACAAGAACCACAUGUAUGGUGAUCCAGUCUACAACCCUUCUCGUAAUAUCCAGUCACAGAUCCGUGGAGAAUUUCCUUCUUCAGGAAUGCAAGUUCGGCCAGACAAGAACAGCGCUCCAAUGCACGCGUUUGUACCACAAGGGCCAGUACCAAUGCUAGUAGGGAACCAAAUACAGUUUCAGAACCAGCGAAUGAUGUUUCCUGCUGACUUAUCUCGGUUACAGCUGCAGUCUUCAUGGCACAAUGUGAACCCGCAAAUGCAUUCAAGACAGAAGCAGGAAUCCCUUCCUCCCGACUUGAACAUUGGUUUCCAAUCAUCGGGGUCACCAGGAAGGCCAUCUUCAGGUGUUCUUGUAGAUUCUCAGCAGCCUGAUUUGGCUCUCCAACUCUGAAAGCAACUGCAUUGUUAGUCUUGGUUUGCAACUCAGCACGCGCCUCUGAGAAAUUUUGUUUGGGAUCAUAUGUUGGGUGCAACAGAGCCCAUGUUCGACAUCUGGUGCGAUCCUUGGAGGGGAGGGGCAGGUAUUAUUUGCAAGGGAAAAUUAGCUAUGCUGAGAAAAAAAAAAAGAGAGGCAGGAUUCUGCUCAUGACAAAGUAAACAACACAGCAUAACCAAUUCAUUAGAGAGCUUUGGGCGUUGAAUGAGAAACAGAAAUGGAACAGUCCAAAAGAUGGCAUAUAUAAUUGCCAGGCUCUAGAAUAAUUUAUUUAAAUUUGGACAGCAAUUAGCAAAGAGAACUUCAAGCUUUCACUUGUUCUAAUUUCCUUUCAGAAUCACUCAGGGCCAAAAGCAUAAGAAGUGAGAGUACAUGCAUCUAGUGUGAUAACAUCUUCAUCUAUUUAACCUUACAAUCGAAUGUCUAAAAUACAUGUACUAUAGAACAUUACAUAUAUAGCUCCAAGUGAAGCUAUCAAUCACAGGAAGAAUUUGCAUAAUAUUAUGACAUUUCAUGGUUAAGAUUAAGUGCCUAA